AGUGAACGCUGGCGGUAGGCCUAACACAUGCAAGUCGAACGGCAGCACAGUAAGAGCUUGCUCUUACGGGUGGCGAGUGGCGGACGGGUGAGGAAUACAUCGGAAUCUACUUUUUCGUGGGGGAUAACGUAGGGAAACUUACGCUAAUACCGCAUACGACCUACGGGUGAAAGCAGGGGAUCUUCGGACCUUGCGCGAUUGAAUGAGCCGAUGUCGGAUUAGCUAGUUGGCGGGGUAAAGGCCCACCAAGGCGACGAUCCGUAGCUGGUCUGAGAGGAUGAUCAGCCACACUGGAACUGAGACACGGUCCAGACUCCUACGGGAGGCAGCAGUGGGGAAUAUUGGACAAUGGGCGCAAGCCUGACCCAGCCAUACCGCGUGGGUGAAGAAGGCCUUCGGGUCGUAAAGCCCUUUUGUUGGGAAAGAAAAGCAGCAGGUUAAUACCCCGCUGUUCUGACGGUACCCAAAGAAUAAGCACCGGCUAACUUCGUG
rnacentral:rRNA from 1 species